AAGUCGUAACAAGGUUUCCGUAGGUGAACCUGCGGAAGGAUCAUUAAAGAGUAAGGGUCUCCGGCCCGAACCUCCAACCCUUUGUUGUUAAAACUACCUUGUUGCUUUGGCGGGACCGUUCGGUCUCCGAGCGCACCGGUCCUUCGGAUUUGGUGAGCGCCCGCAGAGUCCAACCAACAUCCAUUGUAUUAAUCCAAGUCCGUCUGAGUAUAAAAUUUUAAUUUGAUUAAAA
rnacentral:misc_RNA from 1 species